AGAUGUGAGGGCGAUCUGGCUGUGACGUCUUGUCACCCGCUGAUCACCGGACUUGAUUUGGCUGAUCGGUCUGGCUGGCUAAGCGGUCUCCCCUGCCUCCCUUACCAUUCUCAGUUGAAGAGGCCCCGUCUUCGGUCAAGGGUAUAUGAGUAGCUGCACUCCCCUGCUAGAACCUCCAAACAAGCCCUCAAGGUCCAAGUUCUAUUUAAGGAAACAACUACAUAAUUAGACAGUAGUACAAAAUCAUAGCCCAACACAGCGACGGCAUGACCUGAACUCAGUCAUUCGUG
ensembl:misc_RNA 7SK 7SK RNA